rnacentral:piRNA from 1 species
CAGCAAAAGAAUGGCAUACAGGAGUUGCUG